CUGAUGAGGCCCUUCCCGUUUCCCGUUCGAUGUAAUUUUUAUACCACUGUGACCACCGUCCUUUUCUCUACAAGUUGACAGGAGCAAAAUACCGAAUCGUAACUCAUGCCAGAGGAGCUGCCGUACCCAAGAGCUUCGCUGCUAGUAAAUCUCGAUUUUUUGGAAUUUUUUGGCCCACCGAGGGCCCUAGGGGUGUUUUAUCACAGGAACCAAU
rnacentral:lncRNA from 1 species